rnacentral:lncRNA from 1 species
AGGGAACUUCAAAUGGUUACUUCAGGACAAGGAGAGGCCAAGCAGGUGCUCUUACCACGAUCAUGUCUUUCACAAUACUUUUGUUGCUGAACGUGGGAAGGUUCUACAUACACGGGCCUUUUCACAUGAUGCACUACCUGAGCUUUACCUACAUGCUCAAUGGUUCGUUCCUGAUUUUGCACGGCCUCAUGAAUGACAUGGAUCCCACCAACAAGUUUCUUGUGACGUACUACGGCAGCGGUGCUCUCAUGUUCCUCGUCACAGGAAUCCUCUCCGUGUCCAAUACCCAAGGCCAGCAGUUACUUACGAUGUCCAUUG